UACGUAGGUGGCAAGCGUUGUCCGGAUUUACUGGGCGUAAAGAGCGCGCAGGCGGUCGGAUAAGUCGAAUGUGAAAGCCCCCGGCUCAACUGGGGAGGGUCAUUCGAUACUGUUCGACUCGAAGGCAGGAGAGGGAAGUGGAAUUCCCGGUGUAGUGGUGAAAUGCGUAGAUAUCAGGAGGAACACCGGUGGCGAAGGCGGCUUUCUGGACAGAAACUGACGCUGAUGCGCGAAAGCUAGGGGAGCAAACAGG
rnacentral:rRNA from 1 species